rnacentral:rRNA from 1 species
UGGGGGAUAUUGCACAAUGGGGGAAACCCUGAUGCAGCAACGCCGCGUGAAUGAUGAAGGUCUUCGGAUUGUAAAGUUCUGUUCUUGGUGAAGAUAAUGACGGUAGCCAAGGAGAAAGCUCCGGCUAACUACGUGCCAGCAGCCGCGGUAAUACGUAGGGAGCGAGCGUUGUCCGGAUUUACUGGGUGUAAAGGGUGCGCAGGCGGCUCUGCAAGUCAGGCGUGAAAGCUAGGGGCUCAACCCCGGCGAGCCGUUGAAACUGGUCGGCUGGAGUUGGAGAGAAGUAUGCGGAAUGCGCGGUGUAGCGGUGAAAUGCAUAGAUAUCGCGCAGAACUCCGAUUGCGAAGGCAGCAUACCGGCUCCAUACUGACGCUGAGGCACGAAAGCGUGGGUAUCGAACAGGAUUAGAUACC